rnacentral:rRNA from 1 species
GACCUCGGAUCAGGUAGGAAUACCCGCUGAACUUAAGCAUAUCAAUAAGCGGAGGAAAAGAAACCAACAGGGAUUGCCUCAGUAACGGCGAGUGAAGCGGCAACAGCUCAAAUUUGAAAUCUGGCCCCCAGGGUCCGAGUUGUAAUUUGUAGAGGAUGCUUUUGGUGAGGUGCCUUCCGAGUUCCCUGGAACGGGACGCCAUAGAGGGUGAGAGCCCCGUCUGGUUGGACACCGAGCCUCUGUAAAGCUCCUUCGACGAGUCGAGUAGUUUGGGAAUGCUGCUCUAAAUGGGAGGUAUAUGUCUUCUAAAGCUAAAUAUUGGCCAGAGACCGAUAGCGCACAAGUAGAGUGAUCGAAAGAUGAAAAGCACUUUGAAAAGAGGGUUAAAAAGUACGUGAAAUUGUUGAAAGGGAAGCGC